rnacentral:rRNA from 1 species
UACGGGGGGGGGCAAGCGUUUGUUCGGAAUUACUGGGCGUAAAGGGCGCGUAGGCGGCCUUCUAAGUCGAACGUGAAAUCCCCGGGCUCAACCCGGGAACUGCGUCCGAUACUGGAAGGCUUGAAUCCGGGAGAGGGAUGCGGAAUUCCAGGUAUAGCGGUGAAAUGCGUAGAUAUCUGGAGGAACACCGGUGGCGAAGGCGGCAUCCUGGACCGGUAUUGACGCUGAGGCGCGAAAGCCAGGGGAGCAAACGGG